rnacentral:rRNA from 1 species
GACGGAGGGGGCGAGCGUUGUUCGGAAUUAUUGGGCGUAAAGGGCGCGUAGGCGGUUUGGCAAGUCGGAUGUGAAAGCCCCUGGCUCAACCAGGCGAAUUGCAUCCGAAACUGCCGAACUUGAGUGCGGGAGAGGAGAGUGGAAUUCCCAGUGUAGCGGUGAAAUGCGUAGAUAUUGGGAAGAACACCGGUGGCGAAGGCGGCUCUCUGGACCGCAACUGACGCUGAGGCGCGAAAGCUAGGGGAGCAAACGGG